rnacentral:rRNA from 1 species
UAUGUUAAUAGCAUACUCAUUUGACGUUAGCUGCAGAAGAAGCACCGGCUAACUCCGUGCCAGCAGCCGCGGGUAAUACGGAGGGUGCGAGCGUUAAUCGGAAUUACUGGGCGUAAAGCGCAUGCAGGUGGUUUGUUAAGUCAGAUGUGAAAGCCCGGGGCUCAACCUCGGAAUUGCAUUUGAAACUGGCAAACUAGAGUACUGUAGGAGGGGGUAGAAUUUCAGGUGUAGCGGUGAAAUGCGUAGAGAUCUGAAGGAAUACCGGUGGCGAAGGCGGCCCCCCUGGACAGAUACUGACACUCAGAUGACGAAAGCGGUGGGGAGACAAACAGGAUUAGACUACCCUGGUAG